rnacentral:lncRNA from 1 species
UCUAAGCUUCCUUCUAAUUAUAACAUUCUAUGCUCAAAGAUUCUUCUUUGGAUCAAAGGAUCAUUGGAUACUAAAGGGAAAGGACCUUAGAAACCAAUGGGUUCAACUUCCUCACUUUGUAGAUGAAGAAAUUUGGGGUUUAACAAGGUUACUUGGUCAAGGGCACUUCAAUUCCAACCCCAGCAUAAUUUCCAUUUUACUACAGUGCUUCUCAUCAACAAGCAUAGGGUGGAUAUUUCAUUAUUAUAUCUUUUAAAUGCCUAGACAUUGUACAACUGCCUUUAAAGAUACAGUAGAAGUGACUUUAUGGUUUUUUUUAGAUAAAACCAAAAAGUGUCAGAUAUGCAUUUGAAACAUAACUAGAGAAGGAAGUGAAAUGUUUUUGAUUUAGAAGAGCAAGCCUCAGAAGAGAAUAACUCUAAACAGUGUCUUCAUCUGUCUUCAUUUCUUACCUCUGCAAAAAAGUUUUUGAAAACAAAAGCAGAUGCAGUAUCCUGAAGUUUCUGAAAUUCUAAACCUGGAAAGGGUCGAGGGGAUCGUUAUAGGAGAAAGAGAGGGAAGAAGAGAGGGAGAAAAAAAAUUUGUUAUUGAUCACCAAGAUUUGUUUUCUUCUCUCUACAUAUGGGUCAAAAGAAUCAACCUCACAACAAAAGAUGGUGAAGGCAUAGCUAUGCAAAAAUUAAUCUUAAGAAGAUCUCAGCUUCUUGGAGGACAGUGGAUCAAGGAGUCAGCAAUGUGUCAUGACAAAAACAAGGGAAAAAAAGAAUAUAAUGCCAUUAUAGGAUUCAUUAAGAAAGAUAUAGCCUUUCCAUAGGAGGAAAGAGGUAUCAUGAGUUGCCAUAAAGCCAUUCUGCAAAGAGUUGGGUGACGGCAUGUCAGGAAGAAUUGGUCCUCCUAGGUAAGGCAACUGCCAUGUCAAAUGGCAAUGAAUAUCUGACUCCUCUAUAAAGUGGGGCAUAAUCCCUGUAACUCCUGAGAACCACUGGAGUAAUGCAAUUUCUAAAAUGCUUCUUCUUAAUAAAUUAGCAUUCUUUUUCUUGAGAACCA